GACUAAAUGACGGGUGUAGAAGGAAGUUAUGGAUUAUGUACAUGUUGAUGUUCGAACAAUUGGGUUCGAACCUAUAUGAUAGUUACAUGAUAAGUGGUUACAUUUUAUUGAUUGAAUGAAACGAGAUUAAUAUGGAUGCUAGAACCCUAAAACAUUAAAAGAUACCUUAGGCACGUAGAAUUAGACUUUGUCUUAUGACAAUUUCUUCACGAACUUAUCGACUCUUCAUCAAUGAAGGUCCGGGCGACAGAAAGUGAAGCAGAAGAAGAAACGACUCCACGCCAGCUUUAAGAACAAUUGAGGUUGAGCAGGCGAUGGAAUGGAUCGGUGUUGAGCGGAUUUCCCUUUUGAUGUUUAUGUAAUGAAACCUUGAGUAUGCAUCUCCAUAUGCAUAACUCACACGUUUUUUCCGCUGCAAACACUCUGAAUUUGUUAUCGUAUUGUGGAACUUAUUACUCCUUCAUUUUGUUUAACUUUCAUUUGGGGUUUAGUCGUUAUGGCUGGCUCAUUUGUUAAUUACCUAAGUGGUUAUAUAUAUAUAUACCACUAGUUUGUUGUUAUUAAUGUUGGUUAUUUGGUAAA